ensembl:snoRNA
CCUUUCUUAUAUGAUGAAAUAAGUGUUGGUAGGGACAUCUGAGUUAAAUUGAUGAAACGCCAACCAUUCUGACUUAAAACG